rnacentral:rRNA from 1 species
GACGAACGCUGGCGGCGUGCUUAACACAUGCAAGUCGAACGGAAAGGCCUCUUUCGUGGGGUUCUCGCGUGGCGAACGGGUGAGUAACACGUGAGUAACCUGCCCUUGACUUUGGGAUAACUUCCGUCAACUGGGGCUAAUACCGGAUAGGAGCUCCUGCUGCAUGGUUGGGGUUGGAAAGUUUCGGCGGUUGGGGAUGGACUCGCGGCUUAUCCGCUUGUUGGUGGGGUAGUGGCUUACCAAGGCGUUGACGGGUAGCCGGACAGAGAGGGUGACAGGCGACAUUGGGACUGAGAGAAGGCACAAGCACCGACGGGAGGGAGAAGGGGGGAAGAUUGAAGAAGGGGUGGAGGGCGAAUGAAGAAAGGCCGUGGGCGGGAUGACGGUGUUAGGGUUGAAAACCGCAUGCGCUAAUGACGAAGCUUUGUGUGACGGUAGUGGGUAAAGAAGCAACGGCUAACUACGUG